AAGUCACAUAGCCACAAACGAAGUUUCCAUUUCAUCGCAGAGAAGUACAAAGCACACAGCACCGAUUCUAGAGCGAAUCAGAGAAAGAAGAAAGAUGAUCUAUCGGAAGUGGAGUCUCCUUACAGGUCCGACGUCCAUCAUCGCUGGUGUAGUGGCCACCGUCGCCGUCGCCAACUUCAUAUUAGUCAAGAAUGACCCAUUCACUAAACCAGAGGAUAGGAAGUUUGGAGAUCAACCUGCAACCAAGUAGUAGAAAAGAUAUCACAGUGGUUUGUAUUUUGAUGUCACAUUGAUUAUGAGCCCUUUAUGCUGUUUUGCAAGACAUGCUCUCUUUAGUUAAUAAAGUCUUAGGUGUCAAAUGAAAUUUGGAUUCUGGAGCAUGAACCUUUGUUUAGAACUAACUUACAAAAGUUCUUGAGAACUGGUUCACAUUUCAGAGAUCCAUGUUUGUUUCUUCUGUACAAUGUCAAAUAGAAACGUGUAAUAAUCUUAUAUUUCAUUUCUUUUACCCUUAUCAAUUUUUCGAUAAAGUUUGCCUUGCC